CGGGGGAGGCCAAAUCCUGGGCUGUUUCCCAGCGCCCUGUUUUCAGGAGCCUGUGCUGUUGGAUUCUCGUUCCCAGCCGUGCAGCCACCU
rnacentral:pre_miRNA from 1 species